rnacentral:misc_RNA from 1 species
GUAUUGAUUGCGUGUGACCGCAAAAGAAACAUUCUACACUGUAUCGAGUUUUAUGUGAAAACGCAAGCCCUCCCGCAAAGGGGACCCACGCGGUGGUGCACAUAGGGGUGAGAUGGAUUGUGUGAGAGCACUCGGGCGUGCACGACAAAAAAAAAGUCAGCGACAGCCCUCGCACCUCGGUUGUACGAUAAUGAUCCUUCCGCAGGUUCACCUACGGAAA